rnacentral:rRNA from 1 species
GACGUAGGUGGUGAACGUUAUCCGGAAUUAUUGGGCGUAAAGGGUGCGUAGGUGGCCUGGCAAGUUAUCAGUGGUAAAUCGAGGCCCAACCUCGUGGAAACUGGCAAUACUGUUUGGCUUGAGUGCAGGAGAGGUUAACGGAACUCUAUGUGGAGCGGUAAAAUGCACAGAUAUAUAGAAGAACAUCAAUAACGGCGAAGGCAGUUAACUAUUCUGUUACUGACACUGAGGCACGAAAGCGUGGGGAGCAAAACGG